rnacentral:lncRNA from 1 species
AUGGAAUCUUGCUUGCUUGAUCGAUCACAAGGUAACUUAUGGAAUCGAUUCUUCUAAUAUUUACACUUGAUUAAUUUUUUGGAUGGAUCCUUAUCCAACUACACUUAGGCGCUUAUUGACAUCCUGCCAUGUCCUGGUCCUACAUGUUGAAGUUACUUCAUGAUCAUUCUGGUUCCUGGAAAAUUAUGCUCAAGGCAAUGGAUACUCAUCAUAGUACAUAGCAAGGGCACCUUGCAGCUGAUCUACAUUAUUUAGGCCCUGUUUGUUUGGGAUUAUAAUCUAGGUAGAUUAUAUAAUCCAAUGUAAAUAAGCUAGUGAGGAAACAAACAAGCAACUUAUCUGAUAAGAUUAUAUAAUCUAGCAAUUGAGAUUAUGAUAAUCUAUAAACUCAUCAAAAGGUGCUUAUUUCAGUUUAUUUUUUAUGAAAGACCCACUACACAUGGCAAGUUGAUUAAAAUUACUUCCAAUUGCCAUCCACCUGUCUAUAGACGUUC